rnacentral:rRNA from 1 species
UACGGAGGGUGCAAGCGUUAUCCGGAUUCACUGGGUUUAAAGGGUGCGUAGGUGGGCUGGUAAGUCAGUGGUGAAAUCUCCGGGCUUAACUCGGAAACUGCCGUUGAUACUAUCAGUCUUGAAUAUUGUGGAGGUAAGCGGAAUAUGUCAUGUAGCGGUGAAAUGCUUAGAUAUGACAUAGAACACCGAUAGCGAAGGCAGCUUGCUACACAAUUAUUGACACUGAGGCUCGAAAGCGUGGGGAGCAAACAGG